AUUGAACGCUGGCGGAAUGCUUUACACAUGCAAGUCGAACGGCAGCACGGACUUCGGUCUGGUGGCGAGUGGCGAACGGGUGAGUAAUACAUCGGAACGUGCCCAGUCGUGGGGGAUAACGUAGCGAAAGCUACGCUAAUACCGCAUACGAUCUACGGAUGAAAGCGGGGGAUCGCAAGACCUCGCGCGAUUGGAGCGGCCGAUGGCAGAUUAGGUAGUUGGUAGGGUAAAGGCCUACCAAGCCGACGAUCUGUAGCUGGUCUGAGAGGAUGAUCAGCCACACUGGGACUGCGAGACGGCCCAGACUCCUACGGGAGGCAGCAGUGGGGAAUUUUGGACAAUGGACGCAAGUCUGAUCCAGCCAUUCCGCGUGCAGGAUGAAGGCCCUCGGGUUGUAAACUGCUUUUGUACAGAACGAAAAGGCUCUGGUUAAUACCUGGGGCUCAUGACGGUACUGUAAGAAUAAGCACCGGCUAACUACGUGCCAGCCGCCGCAGUAA
rnacentral:rRNA from 1 species